rnacentral:sRNA from 1 species
CACGGUCGAUCGUCGUCACUCCCGUCCCUCGAUACGGCGACCGACCGGAUGGCAUGACACGCCCAUCGGCGGCGCGUCGGUUCCCAGCAAGGACCGGCGCGCC